rnacentral:piRNA from 1 species
UCCUAAUAAGCCUGGGAGUGCUAUGG